rnacentral:rRNA from 1 species
UACGUAGGGUGCGAGCGUUGUCCGGAAUUACUGGGCGUAAAGAGCUCGUAGGUGGUUUGUCGCGUUGUUCGUGAAAACUCACAGCUUAACUGUGGCGUGCGGGCGAUACGGGCAGACUGGAGUACUGCAGGGGAGACUGGAAUUCCCGGUGUAGCGGUGAAAUGCGCAGAUAUCAGGAGGAACACCGGUGGCGAAGGCGGGUCUCUGGGCAACAACUGACGCUGGAGGAGCGAAAGCGUGGGGAGCGAACAGGAUUAGACUACCCCGAGU